ACAGGAAUGCCCUAGUAACGGCGAGUGAAGCGGCAACAGCUCAAAUUUGAAAUCUGGCCCUCGGGUCCGAGUCAUAAUUUGUAGAGGAUGCUUUUGGUGCGGCGCCUUCCGAGUUCCCUGGAACGGGACGCCAUAGAGGGUGAGAGCCCCGUACGGUUGGAUGCCUAGCCUCUGUAAAGCUCCUUCGACGAGUCGAGUAGUUUGGGAAUGCUGCUCUAAAUGGGAGGUAAAUUUCUUCUAAAGCUAAAUACCGGCCAGAGACCGAUAGCGCACAAGUAGAGUGAUCGAAAGAUGAAAAGCACUUUGAAAAGAGGGUUAAAUAGCACGUGAAAUUGUUGAAAGGGAAGCGCUCAUGACCAGACUUUUGCCUGGCGGAUCACCCGGCGUUCUCGCCGGUGCACUUCGUCAGGCUGAGGCCAGCAUCGAUUUCUGUAGGGGGAUAAAGACUUCGGGAAAGUAGCUUCCUUCGGGGAGUGUUAUAGCCCGCUGUGUAAUACCCUUACGGGGAUCGAGGUUCGCGCUUCUGCAAGGAUGCUGGCAUAAUGGUCAUCAGCGACCCGUCUUGAAACACGGACCAAGGAGUCGAACAUUUAUGCGAGUGUUUGGGUGUUAAACCCUCACGCGUAAUGAAAGUGAACGGAGGUGAGAGCUCUAAAGGGUGCAUCAUCGACCGAUCCUGAUGUCUUCGGAUGGAUUUGAGUAAGAGCAUAACUGUUCGGACCCGAAAGAUGGUGAACUAUGCGUGGAUAGGGUGAAGCCAGAGGAAACUCUGGUGGAGGCUCGCAGCGGUUCUGACGUGCAAAUCGAUCGUCAAAUCUGCGCAUGGGGGCGAAAGACUAAUCGAACCAUUAACGGAAACACCAGCGGUAAAUAAUUAUUUACUAGGUGGUUUAGAGGCCUCUCGCGAGAGCAGGUCUAGGUCGGCGCCUACCCGGGACCUAUCCGGGUAGCUACUCGGAAACUAUCCCAUAGUUGCUUACCCGGGAGCUACCCUGUAGUAACGGGUAGCCGACCGACACCGCUAAAUUGCGGGGACAUCCUAUAGAAGGCUCCGGGCUACCGCCGCACGCUGAAAAGCGCCUGCGGCACCAAGAGUAACGCUCUUGGGUACGGUAAGAACGCCCGGGGUAUCGGACGACCUGCAGCCAACCCCGUCAGCCCCGGUAGGGGGCCUAGGGGAGAGUUCACUGACUAAACAGCGGUGGGUCCCGCGGCGGGGUGUCGCGGGGCUUAAGACAUAGUCGAUCCGGGCCCUGAAAAGGUGACCCUGAAAGUAUAAUACUA
rnacentral:rRNA from 1 species